AGUUCUCAUACUAUAAUUUUUUCUUUUGAAAAAUGCAUGGUGUGGAGUUGGGCAUUGCUAAUCUUUAUCGAUUUGGCUUGCUUUAAAUGUAUUAGCUGAUCCUCGUUGCAGACUUGGUUCUACUUAGCGUGAUUAAGUUUUGACCGCUAAGGACAUCCUACCUUCACGGGUUUGGGUGGCCAGGAUUGCCUUGGAUUGCUUCUAACCGUCUCUUAGAGACAACUUUUCAAU
rnacentral:misc_RNA from 2 species